rnacentral:rRNA from 1 species
UGAAUUGCAGAAUCCCGUGAACCAUCGAGUCUUUGAACGCAAGUUGCGCCUGAAGCCAUUAGGCUAAGGGCACGUCUGCCUGGGCGUCACGCAUCGCGUCACCCCUCCCCCAAUUCUGGUGGUAGGGGUG